rnacentral:rRNA from 1 species
AUAAUUCCUCCAUCACCGGUUGACUACCCAAUUAUGGGGCUUAACCUUCUGAGGAUGUUGGUCCAGAAUAGAAUUGCGGAGUUCCACACUGAGCUGGAGCCUCUGCCCACCAAAGCGCUGGAGAAUCCUUGCAUCAAGCACGCAGUUGAGCUCGAGCAGUCCCUUAUGGAGGGCGCCUACAACCACGUGCUGAGUGCUCGACAAGCUGUGCCGCAUGAAAGUUACGUAUACUUCAUGGACCUUCUAGCCAAAAGAGUAGUUAGAGACAAAAUAGCUGGGUGCAGCGAGAAGGGAUAUGAUUACUUGUCGAUAAGUAACGCGAAACAAAUGCUUAUGUUCAGCUCUGACGAAGAACCACAACAGUACAUCUCAGAGGAACACCCCGAGAGGGAUGUUAGGAAUGGCCGGGUCUUCUUCCAGAAGGCGAUGGAGUCUCAGCCCUGUAAGGAGACACCGGCGAUGCCCGCCAUGAACAAGACCCUUGGCUAUGCGAAGGAAUUCGAAAGGACAGUGUGA